rnacentral:rRNA from 1 species
UGGAUAUCUACCUUUUGGUUCGGAACAACACAGGGGAAACUUGUGCUAAUACUGGAUAAGCCCUUACGGGGAAAGAUUUAUCGCCGAAAGAUUGGCCCGCGUCUGAUUAGCUAGUUGGUGAGGUAACGGCUCACCAAGGCGACGAUCAGUAGCUGGUCUGAGAGGAUGAUCAGCCACAUUGGGACUGAGACACGGCCCAAACUCCUAUGGGAGGCAG